CAGCAGCCGCGGUAAUACGAAGGGGGCUAGCGUUGCUCGGAAUGACUGGGCGUAAAGGGCGCGUAGGCGGUUCGUACAGUUGGAUGUGAAAUUCCUGGGCUUAACCUGGGGGCUGCAUUCAAUACGUGCGGGCCAGAAUGUGGAAGAGGGUUGUGGAAUUCCCAGUGUAGAGGUGAAAUUCGUAGAUAUUGGGAAGAACACCGGUGGCGAAGGCGGCAACCUGGUCCAUAAUUGACGCUGAGGCGCGAAAGCGUGGGGAGCAAACAGGAUUAGAUACCCGUGUAGUCCCUGUCUCUUAUAC
rnacentral:rRNA from 1 species